rnacentral:rRNA from 1 species
GAUGAACGCUAGCGGCAGGCCUAACAUAUGCAAGUCGAGGGGUAGAAGUUGCUUGCAACUUUGAGACCGGCGCACGGGUGCGUAACGCGUAUGCAAUCUGCCUUGUACUGAGGGAUAGCCCAGAGAAAUUUGGAUUAAUACCUCAUAGCAUUAUGAUGUGGCAUCACAUUAUAAUUAAAGUUCCAACGGUACAAGAUGAGCAUGCGUCCCAUUAGUUAGUUGGUAAGGUAACGGCUUACCAAGACGAUGAUGGGUAGGGGUCCUGAGAGGGAGAUCCCCCACACUGGUACUGAGACACGGACCAGACUCCUACGGGAGGCAGCAGUGGGGAAUAUUGGUCAAUGGGCGCAAGCCUGAACCAGCCAUGCCGCGUGCAGGAUGACGCAUCUAUGGUGUGUAAACUGCUUUUGUACAGGAAGAAACACUCCCUCGUGAGGGAGCUUGACGGUACUGUAAGAAUAAGGAUCGGCUAACUCCGUGCCAGCAGCCGCCGUAA